GAAAUGCGAUAAGUAAUGUGAAUUGCAGAAUUCAGUGAGUCAUCGAAUCUUUGAACGCACCUUGCGCUCCUUGGUAUUCCUUGGAGCAUGCCUGUUUGAGUAUCAUGAAAUCUUCAAAGUAAAUCUUUUGUUAACUCAAUUGGUUUCUACUUUGGUAUUGGAGGUCUUUGCAGCUUCACACCUGCUCCUCUUUGUUCAUUAGCUGGAUCUCAGUGUUAUGCUUGGUUCCACUCGGCGUGAUAAGUUAUCUAUCGCUGAGGACACUGUAAAAGGUGGCCAAGAUAAAUGCAGAUGAACCGCUUCUAAUAGUCCAUUGACUUGGACAAUACUUUUAUGAUCUGAUCUCAAAUCAGGUAGGACUACCCGCUGAACUUAAGC
rnacentral:misc_RNA from 1 species